rnacentral:rRNA from 1 species
UAGGGAAUCUUCGGCAAUGGACGAAAGUCUGACCGAGCAACGCCGCGUGAGUGAAGAAGGUUGUCGGAUCGUAAAACUCUGUUGUUAGAGAAGAACAAGGACGUUAGUAACUGAACGUCCCCUGACGGUAUCUAACCAGAAAGCCACGGCUAACUACGUGCCAGCAGCCGCGGUAAUACGUAGGUGGCAAGCGUUGUCCGGAUUUAUUGGGCGUAAAGCGAGCGCAGGCGGGUUCUUAAGUCUAAUGUGAAAGCCCCCGGCUCAACCGGGGAGGGUCAUUGGAAACUGGGAGACUUGACUACAGAAGGGGAGAGUGGAAUUCCAUGUGUAGCGGUGAAAUGCGAAGAUAUAUGGAGGAACACCAGUGGCGAAGGCGGAUCUCUGGUCUGUAACUGACGCUGAGGCUCAAAAGCGUGGGGAGCAAACAGG